rnacentral:rRNA from 1 species
UGACCUCAAAUCAGGUAGGACUACCCGCUGAACUUAAGCAUAUCAAUAAGCGGAGGAAAAGAAACUAACAAGGAUUCCCCUAGUAACUGCGAGUGAAGCGGGAAAAGCUCAAAUUUAAAAUCUGAUGGU